UGGGCAAGAAUUUUGAGAGUGCUGAUUUUUUUACUUUAUGAUAGUGCCAAAGCUGUACGCAUUAAGUAGAAACUGCACUUCAAGUACCUAUAUAUCUGAUAUGGUUAGGCUUUAUGUCCCCGCUCAAAUCUCAUCUUGAAUUGUAAUCCCCAUACUUCCCACAUGGCAAGGGUGAAGGUAAUUGAAUCAUGGGGGCAGUUUCCCCCAUACUGCUCUCAUGAUAGUGAGUUCUCACAAUAUCUGAUGGUUUUGUAAGGAGCUCUUCCCCCUUCACUUGGCACUUCCCCUUUCUGCUGCCUUGUGAAGAAGGUGUCCUGCUUCUCUGCCUUCUGCUGUGAUUUUAGCUGCUAUGAUUUAGCCUUUCCUGAGGCCUCCCCAGCCAUGCUGAACAUUACAGGAAUAGAAAAUCAAAAUACAGGCUAUGGACAUCUGGCCAGUAGAUCGGGGGAGAUCUUUUGGGGACAUGCUGUUCCAUGCUCUGCCAACUAUACCACGUAAGUGGUAACUGGUUCUAUACAUUUGUAUGACUGAUCUUUGGCUGAAUUAUGAGAUGAAAUUGUCAUGGGAUGUAAUUAUU
rnacentral:lncRNA from 1 species